CGCAGACAGGAAAAAUAAAAAGAGCUAGACCAAGUGAAUCAAUGGCACUUCAAAUCCCAUUUCCUGUGCUGUACAGUGGUUGAUCCCUUCAAGGAAAGUGGGUUUGGAGAACAGAGCAGGCUCUAGGCAAGUAGAAAAACUCUAAGUAUCUCUAGAGGUAGCUUACAUGUGCCCUGAAUCCCCAGCAUUCAGUUCUUACUAGAAAUAAUAGACUGUUUCUCUGUGGAAAGUGUGAAAUGCUUUAAAAUAGGUUGGAAUGGCUGAAAAACACUCUGAUAAAUGAGAGCAGAAUGUGCUAAUAAGAUCCUGUUGUUCCUCACGGAUGGGCCUUAGGGACCUCCUUUACGCUGCUCAUACAUUUUUGUAGCAGGAUUGGAAACACUCCUUAUCUUUUAUUUGAAGUAAUAAUCUUUGGCCAAAAAAAAAAAAAAGUCAUAAUCCCAUAGAAAAUGGCAUGGGAAAAGGAAGGUUCGAGCUUCAUAAGGGGAACAAAAAGCAAAAUCAACCCCUAUUUUAAGGAAAAUGGGUCAUGGUAUAAUUUCCUCUCCCAAUUUGUAAAAGGGAUUCCAGAGUCCUUUUCUGAGACUGGUUAACAGAAGGGCUGAGCCCCUCACCUGGAGGGGUGAAUUAGGUUAAAGAAUGGAUCUGAGUGCUGUUUGGGUUUUGGGUUUUGUUUUUGCUUUUUGGUCUUUUUAGGGCUGCCUCUGCAGCAUAUGGGCAUAUGGAAGUUCCCAGGCUAGGGGUUGAAUUGGAGCUGUAGCUACACCACAGCCACAGCGAUGCAGAAUCCAAGCCGCCUCUGUGACCUACAUCACAGUUCAUAGCAAUAUCAGAUCCUGAACCCACUGACUGAGGCCAGGGAUCGAACCCGUGUCCUCAUGGAUACUAGUCGGGCUCAUUACCACUGAGCCACAACGGGAACUCCAGAUCUGGCUAUUUCUUGACCUUGCUCUGACUGCAACAAUGAAAAACAAGUUGCGUGAGCUUAAAUACAGGGAUAAUGAUGGUGAUGAUGAUGACGGGAAGGUGAUGGUGAUGAAAAUUCUGAUGAUAAUGGGGGGAAGUUGGCGAUGACGAGGAUACUGAGGCAUUUCAUAGAUUCCAACGAAAAUCUGAACCACCAAGCCAAUAGAAAGCUAGGAAGGCAGGGCGCCUCUCACGUUUUCAGCAAGAAAAGUUGAUCGGUCUUGGUUCUAGGAUCCUGGUGUUACUUACCGCUGCUCUCCACACCCACUCUCCUGAGAGAGACCACAACGACCUCCCCUCCAAUCAUUUUCCCUGUGACUCAAUGCGCCAUGGCCUGAAGGGAUGUGUCACGCAGGGGAAUCAUGAGUGUUUCCCAAAGAACAAUCCCAGGCAACACCACUGGCCUUUACCACGGUCUUCCAAAAACAGAAUAAAAUAGAAUAGAACGCAAGGUCCCA
rnacentral:lncRNA from 1 species